rnacentral:rRNA from 1 species
CAGUCGCCACGGUAAUCCGUAGGUGGCAAGCGUUGUCCGGAAUUAUUGGGCGUAAAGGGCUCGCAGGCGGUUUCUUAAGUCUGAUGUGAAAGCCCCCGGCUCAACCGGGGAGGGUCAUUGGAAACUGGGAAACUUGAGUGCAGAAGAGGAGAGUGGAAUUCCACGUGUAGCGGUGAAAUGCGUAGAGAUGUGGAGGAACACCAGUGGCGAAGGCGACUCUCUGGUCUGUAACUGACGCUGAGGAGCGAAAGCGUGGGGAGCGAACAGGAUUAGAUACCCCUGUAGUCCCUGUCUCUUAUAA